CAUGCCAUGCUCCCCCACCCAAAUUACACAUGCCCACUUGAGCAUGAACACACACAAUAAAUUUUUAUAAAAUUCUAUACGUGUUUUGGAGUGUUUGUUAUAGGACAGUCUCUGUGCAAAAAGUCACAUGUCUUAUUACUAUUAUAACCUCCACAAGAAUUACUGUAUAUGAAGCCAUUAUUAGCAUUUUACUGAUUAGAACAUGGUUAUGUAAUUUGCUGAAAACAGUUGCACACUUUAUUUUCAGAAUAGGUCUUGUAGAGUCCAGGCUGGUCUCACACUCACCUUGUAGCCAUGGAGUGCUCUAAAUACUGCUCCUCCUGCCUGUCUCUCCUGAGCACUUGGGAUUACAGGCAUGUACCACAACACCAGGCUUAAUGAGCACAAAGUUUAAGGAAAGGUGAUAGGCAUCUGAGUGUUAGUUAUAGGUAAAGUAUCUGAUGAUACCAUGCUGCCAUUGAUGUUUUACAGCAGCUUCCCUAGAGAUAGUGAGAAAAACCUAUGAUUUCAACCCCAAAUAUGUUAACCUGCAAGACUCAAGUUCUUAAACAACUAUAAAGUCAAAAUAUCAAUCUGUUGACAGCUGCAGCCAACAUCUAACCAAUGCCAAACCCAGAACAAAAUGGGUCAGUACAUUUGAUGUGCUCUGCCAUAGCCAACGUCUCUAAUUGCUUUUGGCUCUAGGUUUCUGAGGGUAAUAUAUGACAGAGAGUAUUUUCUAGGUGUAAAUGGCUGAAUGUUGUUUCAGACCCAUCCAAACUACAUCAGCACCAGGGAUAAAUUGUAUUUAUUCGUCAACUCUGCACACCUUUUGUGGAAAAAGCGACCUUUCUUAAUGGUUAUUACAGGAAACAUGGCAGGUGGCUGGUGCAAUUCCAGUUUAAAAUAAGCACCAUAUUUUCUGCAGCCUGGUCAUUGAAUGAUACUUGAGGAUAGGAAGAAACCCAUCUUGCAUAAUAAUGAAGGGGUCUUUGAGAUUAUACCUGCGUGAUCUUUUUAUUAGCCACCUAACAGCAAGACACAGUUUAUGUUUCUGCAACCAGUCCCUGUUGAUUUUAUAGCUUCUAUUUUAUUUGUUUAGUUUUUCAAGAUUUAUCUUUAUUUUGUGUACAUUGGUGUCUCCCUGUCUGUUGUCUGUGUAAGGGUAUCAAAUCCCCUGGAACAGGAGCUACAGACAGUUGUAAGCUGCCAUGUGGGUGCUGGGAAUUGAACCUGGGUCCUCUGGAAGAGCAGCCAGUGCUCUUAACCACUGAGCCAUCUCUUCAGCCCCAUUCUCUUGCUUCUAAAACUAACACAUAAAUGUUUACUUUUUUACAAAAUUUUUACUAUUUUAUUUUGUGUGCACAUGUGUAUGAGUAUACAUGUGGUGAGCAGAGGGUGAUAUCCAGUGUCCUCCUCAAUCUACAUCCACCUUAUUUUUUGGAGAAAGGGUCUCACUGAACCUGGAGCUCACUGGUUUCUAGACAGGCUGAGCAGCAGCUCCAAGAGAUCGCCUUGUCUUUGCUAUCUCUGUGCUCAGGUUAUAGGUGCAUACUGCCAUUCCUGGCUUAAAAGCAAGCGAGCAAACAAACAAACAAGAAAACCACGGGCCCUAAAGGUUCAAACUCAUGUCUCCACACUUGCAUAGCAAGCAAUUUACUUACAGACCCAUCUCCCCAGCCCCAAUUAUAUUUAUUUUCUAAGCAAAAGCACUAUGUUUCUUUCCUGCUGACAGACUAUUACAAGCCCUGGGACUCAUGCUGUGGCACUCUAACAUGGAGAAGCCAGUGCUAGUAGCCACUGGACACCAACCCUCUAGCAACACCUGUGCCUCCAAGACAGGAGCUUUCAUUCCCAUGCCUCCUCAUCUGGCUAUGCUCUUGAGAAGACAGGAGAUCUCUGUCUCUUGCCAAAGCUUGGCUUAGUGGACUCCAUCCAGACUUACCCGUGGGACAGUUUCCGGAGCAACAUGGAGCUCUGGGAAAGAUCAGCCAUCUGGUGGGGAUUGGGUGGAAGUGGUAGGGAGCCUUGCUUAGUUUGUGAAGAGAUGAAAUGGGCAUUUCUCGUAGAGCUUAAAUACAUAGAGAGCUCAGAGGAAAAAGCUGUGGGGUGAUUCUUAUCAUGAAAACUGUAUGUGUAUAUAAUCCUUCUUUGGGGAAUCCCUUCGGGUGCUGAGGUUUCUGAAUAUGAGGAAAAGAUUUUGAUUCAUGGAAGAUGCUGACAAAGCCACAUACAGCCAUUUCUUGGCUGAUUUUAUUAUUCUCUAAUCAUUCCUUGCAGAUACAAAUUGUUUAAAUAUUACAAACUAUUCCGAAGUCUACCUUAUUAAAUAAACGUCUAAAAUUGGAUAUAUUUGGACACAUUUUGUUAAAGUAAAUAGUUAAAAAUGGAUACAUUUGAACACAUCUCCAACCUCAGAUUAGAGAGGGAGAGCCAGAACUGAGGAACACCACGCUGACGCUCUUCAGCACUUUCCCAUCUGUGUGGACCGUGGUUCCUACAAGGAUGCCCUGAUCUUUCCUCCUUCCUAGAUGCAUUCUUUAUCCCUGUUGGAGCUCAGAAAGGUUGGUCCUAUGCCUUGCAUGUCUUCUCCCCCAAGCUCUACAAGCUGAACCAGAUAAUUCUCCUACUUCUGUACUUCCAGUUUCCAGUGUUCACAUUAACGCUUUUAAAGUUGCAUAUGAACCUCACCUCAAAUCAACUGUAAGCUACUUAAAAGUCAUCCUUGUAGUACAUCUAUAGACUCAGUAUGUAGAUGCGCUUGAGGACUACAGGUGAGUUAGUAAAGGCGAACAGAGGGAGUGGGUUAUAUGCUUUUUGAACUUAUGAGGAUGAAAAUAUGGGGCAAGACAGUCUGCAAUUUAACUUUGAGUCACCAUUGUACCCCAGUGUGAAUUCAUACCAGUGAAUUAUCUUCAUGGUGCCUAGUGGUUCUGCUCAUACCCAAUUUGACCAUAUUGGGAUGAGUCUCAGAAGUGAAUCCAUCUACUUUUGCUAAAGUAUUGGUUAGUUCUCAAAUCACCAUAUGUGUGAUAUAUAUUACCUGAGUCUGGAGAUACUGGUGCAUAAGCAAGAUAGAAUAAAACAAACAACUAAUAGUGGUGAUAUAUUUGUAAUCUAAUAAAUAAAACUUGCCUAAAGAUCAGAGGACAGAGCUAGCCACAGAGUUGGUUACAGAGGUCAGGCAGUGGUGGCACACACCUUUAAUCCUAGCACUCAGGAGGCAAAGGCAGAGAUCCGUCUGGAUUUCUGUGAAUUCAAGGCCACGCUGGGCUACACGAGAUUAAUCCAGUCUAAAAGAGAAACAGCCAGACAGUGGUGGCACACACCUUUAACUCCAGCACUUGGGAUCACACACCUUUAAUUCCAGCACUAGGAAGAUUGAGACAGGAAGUGAUAUGGCUGGACAGAGAAAGGAAUAUAAGGUGGGAGGAGACAGGAACUCAGGUCUUUUCAGGCUCUUGCAGGCUGAGGAGUUGGUGAGUUAAGAGGUAGCUUGUGGGGGCUGGAGAGAUGGCUCAGAGCUUAAGAGCACUGACUGCUCUUCCAGAGGUCCUGAGUUCAAUUCCCAGGGCCCACGUGGUGGCUCACAACCACCUGUAAUGAGAUCUGGCACCCUCUUCUGUAUACAUAAUAAAUAAAUAAAUAAAUCUAAAAAAAAAAAAGAGAGAGGUGGCUUGCUCUGCUUCUCUGAUCUUUUAACUUUCACCCUGAUAUCUGGCUCUGGGUUUUGUAGCAGGAAUCUUAGAGAGUCUUAUUAAUAAAAUCAAACCUGAGGCCAGUUAUUGGGGUGAAAUGCUGGAAGGUCAGAGAGACAGAACAAGCCACAGCUAACCUCACCUGGCCAACUUCUCAGCUGGUCUUGUUUCCUCAGACUGGAAGCUUCUGUGUCCUCAUCCCAAUGUCUCUCAGCUGAACUGUGCUGCUAGAAGCCUGAAAGCUUAACCAGCCAAAUGCUUAACCAUCCAAAUACUGCUAGUUUCUGGUCCUCACGCCUUAUAAACCUUUCUGCUUUCUACCACCACUCCCUGGGAUUAAAGGCUCGCUUUCUGGGAUUAAAGGCGUGAGUCACCAUGCCUGGCUGUUUCCAAUGCGGCCUUGAACUCACAGAGAUCCAGGGGGAUUUCUGUCUCUGGAAUGCUAGGAUUAAAGGCGUGUGCUAACAUUUUCUAGCCUAAGUAUCUUGUGGCUUUUCUGUUCUCUGACCCCAGAUAAGUUUAUUAAGGUACACAAUAUUUUGGGGAACACAAUACCACCACAGGGUUUUUAUUAAGAUCAAUUAGAAUUUGUGCAAUAACUAAUGCUGCUUGUCCCUUCAAAUCCCCACUUUGAUGAACACUUCUCCAUAUAACACACUUCAAAUCCAUCAAUCAACCAAUCAGUCUAGUUGCUGAGACCACCUCCAGCUGCAACCUACAUUCCACAAACUGCAUGAACAUCCGGCAGGCCACUGAAAGUAGAAUGAUGGUGGUGAUUGACACGCAGCAGCAUUGCUUGACUGCUAGCAAAGCUUCUGCACUGGUCCUUGUUCCUAAGUCAUCAGUAUUUUAUCUCAGUUAUGCAUCAUUUUGCUGUACAACGUUUCCCCCAAUUUAGUCAAAUUACAUAUAUGCAAUAUGUAUAAAUAUAUGUACAUACGUAUAUACAUACAUAUAUACAAUGUACAUACACACAUAUAUCUAUAUAUAAUACUGGAUUCAGUCAACGUUGAUCACAAAUAAUCAUUUUAUAAAUAUGUGCAAAUUUCCUACUAUAGCUGUAACUUUGUUGGACCACCACCAUUGUUCAAAAGAAGUUAAACCUCUUAAUAGUUCCCAAUUCUACACUAAUGAAGUAUUUAAUCCCUCAGACAAUGCACUGGGUAUUUUCAAAACAUUUUCUCAUUUAAUCCUCCUAGGGACUUGAUCGAGACAGGCAGUAUUCUUGUCAUCCCCAGAAAAGAAAACUAAACCUUAGAGAAGUGUCUUUACCUUCAUAAGCAGAAUAGUCAAGAGUCUGGCCCUGUUCUGCCUGCCUCCAAAGUGUGCGUCCUAACCCUGAUGCCCUUCUGAUCUUAGUUGGGAAAGGAGGGAAUGUGGGUCUGAAAGAAGACUUGGAACACACAGGGUGAAAUGAAGGGCUAAUGGGAACUGUUGAAUGCAUGGACUCAGAGGCAAGAGCUAAUGCUGGUGAUACUGGAGAUGUGCAGUUGGGUCAUUCUUGGAAGGAGAGUGUGCAUGGCAAGUAUGAAUGAAUAUUUGGGGACAGAGGCUGAGCAAGAGGUAACACUGGGACAUACACAUGGGGAAAAAAGCCAUGAGUAAGUUACCAAUGGAAUGUAUGACUGAGAAGUUUAUGGGAGAACCAGCUAGAAGCAAAUGCCAGAGAAACCCACACAGCCACCUGCAUCAAUGUCUCAUGAACUUCAUGCAAAUAACUCCGGUGUACCUCACGAAAGUCUGUUUCUUUUGUUCUCCAGCUCAAGCAAUCAAAGCCUGUGAGUCAUGUCCUGGCCACCUUUCAUCUGUUCUAGGCCAGCUGUCUAGAGACACCCAAGGAGAAGGUGGAUGAAAGGCAAAUUACCUGUCUUUUGGGUUUCGUGGCAUGCUGGCCUAAGGGUGACAAUUGACAGGGGAAGUCCUGGAAUUGAUGCUCAUUUUGAAGGGUCAUCAAGUAGAUUACAGCUCAAAUUAGAUUUUGUAAUCCAAUCCAGCACCAGGAGCAGUAACAGUGGGAUUGGGAUCUAUGUCUAACAUAUGUCUACCUCUAGGGGGCGCUGGGGAGCACAGACCUCCUGGUCUUUAUUUGCCUUUGGUUCCUGACUCUCCACACCAUCUCUUCUUUCUGACUCCAUUGUGUGAAGAAAUGGCCUUCAGGCUUCCCACACAGGCCUGCUUGAGGAGGAACAAGAGCAGCUGGACCAGGACUACAUGACAAUAAACAGUGUUGCUUGCAAACAAGUACAGAUUUUGAAAACCUCAAAAUAUCAAAACAGAAGAUGUGCAAGGUUGGCAGGAGCUACGUCCAAGUCUACUUGGUAAACUGCGCUUGUACAAGAGGAACCAGCUCUAAGGAUUUUGCUCUGGCAAGUGCUUCAGGAGAGGUCUGAGGAUAUCAACAGCAUGCCACAGUGUUUAUAAGCCCUCCCAUACCUGAAGACAUCCAGCCUGACUCUUCCUGGCUUUGAAGCCCAGAGGAAGACUUUGUGUCCACAACCCUGGAAGAUAUUCUGAAGUAUUAAUGAUAUUGUGACUACAAAGUACUUCCAUGCACCAAACACACAAAUGCUGUCCUCAGGCCAUGAGCACCUCCUUCGAAACAGUCCUGAUUACUGGCAGAAGAUCCUCCAGAUCAGACCUACUGAUGUUCCCUCAGGCCUCUUGCACCUCUUCCCAGACUGAUGGAAUUCUGUCCAGGUUGCACCAGACCUAGGGAGAUCCUAGAGUACAUGGAGGGUGGAAGGUUAAUUCAAGUCAGUGAGACUCUGUCUAUGCAGUUAUGGGAAAGUAGUCUUACUAAAACUCUUCUUGCUCUGAGAUCUCUGUUACCCUGAGGCCCUCUUCAGAGUGUUCUACAUCCCAACAUUCAACAGCUGUGUUAGUGAGGCUUUGAGAAAAACAUGGGACAGCGGCAUGUGGGAGAAAAAGACAGAAAAAGAAAAAAAAAGAGAGAGAGAGAACCGAUGAAGGAAAACAGGCAGUCACACAGAGCAGAAUGGAAAGGGAACCCCAGUCCUACUGGCAGAGAAUGGGACUCACAUGCAGUAAGAGUGAACAUAGCCUUUUCUUCCAAUUUUCCACCAAGAGAAGCUUCCCGACUUUAUUUUCCAUUUCAAAAGCACUUGUUCUACAAAACAAAAUUUUAGGAGUGAAAAUACUCAAUUAUUUCCCCUUCAACAAACCUUUCCCUUCCUACCUGAGCAGGAACAUAAGCAGAACCUUGUCUGUGCCCAACAACAUUACAUUAGCCAUGGAAACACACCCACAUAAAAGAAUUAUUAAUCUUCAAAAAAGCUAAGGCCAAAUUUGAUGAAAGCUGAAAUGUAUUUUCACAGAUGGCUGUGCUAUGGUGUAUUUGAUUGGAAAAAUAUUAAACAAAGCAAUAUUCCAUUUCUGUUUUAUUUUCUGAAAGCAAUUAUUACAUGAAAAGGUAGAUAGGCAGAGUAUAGUUAACAAACAAAGACUAAAGAGUUGUCAUCACGUUCCAAGUAUUCUGGAAAGUAAAUGAAGGCCACACUAGCCAAUUACAUGACAGUAAAAUAGAGCAACGAAAAAAAUCCAUAUUGCUCACACACACAUACUUAUACCCCACAUCAGAGUUGGAAGGAACAAGAGAUAAAUGGCCCACUAUUGAUUGUUCUUACAGGAAUAUGACAACCACCCAAAGAAGAGAAACAGAACGUCUCUCCCCUCACAUAAAAAGCAAAUUACAUAUGAAAAAAAUCACUACUCUCAAAGCAAGAGUCAAUGAAAAAAAUAUGUCUGGCUUUGACAGGGCAAAUUCCAGGCCCUGUGUAUUUUCACAGAAGUUGGUCCUAAAGUGUUACAAAAAUCUAUGGGCCUUCUCACAGAUUGUCAUAAUUCCCCUGUAAUGGCAGGCAAGGCUUCUACUGCCUUAGUGCCUGCUUCUCCCCUAAGUGAUCCUGCAUGGUGAUAGGUUUGUUUCUUUCUGAAAAUCACACCAAAAAAUAGCUGUACUGUAGGAUUCUGGGGAGAUGGCCUAGUAGGUAAAGUGUUGUUGCACACACGUGAGUUCCUUCGUUCUCACCCCAAAAUCCACAUGAAGAGCCGGGAAUGGUGCUACCUUCUUAUAAUCCCAACUCUGGGGAGACAGAAGCAAGCAGAUCUUUAGGGCUCACUGACCAGUCAGCCUAACCUAAUUUUCAAGGUUUGGGCUAAAUGAGAAGACCCCAUCUCAAAACACAAGGUAGACAGCUCCUAAGAAGGACCUGAGGUUGACCAUUGGCCACCACAUGCACAUACUUACAUGUGAAACCCACACAAACAUGCUUACCCACACACACAUAUACAAAAAGUAGCAGCCCUGUAGAGAUUACAUAAUAAAUGAUAAUAUCUUAUACUGUUACAAUAAUAUACCAUGAAUAUAUCAUGUUUUACUGGAUGUGUGUGAAUUCAGUUGGCUCAAUGGCAGAAUGAACUGUGAGGCAGUUCAUUGCAUCCCACAAAAUAUUCAUUAUUUAAACAGGAGAAAAUUUCUAUGCCCCAGCAUCCCUUUCCGUUCUUCAAAAUGUAGACGGAAAGCUAUUAUUUUUGUGUUUUUUCAAAGAUUUAGGCCAAAAGGAAAAAUUCUCUAGCACGCAAAUGAUUUCUAUGUUGGAACUUUUGAGCAUUAGCCUCCUCUUCCCCCUCUCCUUCCACUCUCUUUGCAGAACAUUGGUAGAGUUUUUAGACACUGUGUUCUGGAUCUUAUUAUAAUUUCGGAAUGGCUGUUGUUGGACAGGCAAACUGCUCCAAAAGUCACAUUUGAGCCAUGAGAAUCAGCACACCCACACAUUUGGAUGUUAUCAUUCUAUUCCAUUUGUGUUAUCAUUCUUGUCCUUCAGCUGACCCCACGACCCUUGGAAAACCAGAGGCCACUGUGUUUGUCCUCUUUCCUUGACCUCAGGGCACCUCAGUCCUUAUUCUCUGUCCCCUCUUGGAGAUAAUUGCCUAUGCUUCGGUGCCUAUAUUAUAUAUGUUCCAACCUGUUCUCCAAACAUUAACUGUUUGGGAUUAAAAUAGUUUCUUAGAAGCAUUUUCAGCCUUUCCUUGAACUCCUGCCAAACCUACAGCUCUCCACAGAAAGGAAAAUGCUGAACAUUCAAAGCAGAGUGAGGAUUACUCAGAAAGAGAUAAUAAAUAGCAUAUUACCACUUGUGGCACGGGGGGGGGGGGGGGGGACUCAAUUUGUUUGUAUCUUAAUGGUUUAACCAUGACAACAGUAUGAGGUCUUAGGAAAGGUACUAAGAACACAGGACUCCUGCCAAGAAUCGAGAAAAGAUUGCAGAAAGGCUUUGCCAUGGAAAUCGUAUCACAAGGCAGGCAGUAUUGACGCAGCCACAUCAAGAGGGUCCACUGGAGAGCCUUGAAAUGCAUUUUUUGAAAUGCAAAUGUUAAGAGCAUUAAAAAAAUGGUGCAGUAAAUCAGGAUGAGGAUAACAACACUGGGAGGUGAACUGGAGUCUGUUCAUAUGAUGCUGAUGAAGGUGAGAGAGAAACUCCUCCCUGACCCUUGUCAGGGUCUGCAGGUUUGGAUGCAGAGGACUGCCUGCUGCUUGGGAAGACAAGACACACAUAGGUAAAGUAACAAACAUUACUGCCACCACUUUUGUAAAGAACACCCUAGAAGGUUGAUGUAUUAUUACUAUCGCAUCGUCCUGUAUUACACAUGAAAAUAUCAGGACCCAGGGAGAGCAUAAGCAACUUCCCAAUGAUUAUAUAGCCAAUAGAUGGUAGAGUGAAGAUUUCAAUCAAACAGUAAAGCUCACAUUAAUCCCUAUGUAGUCCUAUCUGUCCUGCCUCUAUAAUGGGCUAUUAAAGUCUCAGCACGCAGGCACAUGCAUCACUACUAAGAAAGGCAUUUUGCCAGCCAUUCACAUACUCAUGUGUUCAACAAAACGUCACUGAGCACCUCCUGUGUGUCAUGGAUUGAUGUUAGAAUCCUCAGUGGUGUUUCGUAAUAACAACCGAGUUAAAUCACUUCUGAUUUAGGGUUUACAGUUUAGAUAGGGAGAUAGGUGGGAAAAGGAUAAGACUACAUACAGAAUUACGGAGGGAAACACUCUAGCACGGCAGUAAAAAGCUAGCCUUCCUCAUGAUGGCCUGGAGGGCUCAGCAAGGCACAGAUCGCAAGAUCCUACCUACACUUUCUGAUUUGGUCUGUGGUUGGUCCCAAGAAUUUGCACUUAUAUCAAGCUCCUAGAGGAUGCAGAGCUCACUUGGAGAAUGGCUGCUCUUGGGGUUAUGUGGCUUGAGGAGAACAGCUUAUGUUGCACUGUACAACCCUUAGACAAGUCCCUGAGCUUAUGAAAAAGAGUCAUUGACCCGUAUAGAUGUAGCUAGAAGCCUAUCAGGAAGUGUCUCUUGCUCUGCUUUAAAAUGUCAAUAAACUCCCUAAGACAGGUGACACAGUCAGCCACUGGGAGCCGUUUCUAGACAGGAUCUGACAGAGUGAGACACGAGGUGGAUAACAUUUGGUAACAGAGAGAUGAAAGAAAACGCCAAGAUGUAAGGCCAAAGUAAGGUGCCCUGAGUACAUCACUGAGGAAUUCAAAGGCAACAUUCAAGACACUGACAUUUUAAUGGCUAGAAUGCUAAUGGGAAGGAAAUCAUAGGGAGGGAAUUUUUCACUCAUUAAUCCAAGAAACACGCUUCAUCCUUAUCAAUGUUGCUGCACUCUCAUUUAAUUGACAUGAUGAUCAAACUAACCUAUAGUUUCCUGGGUCUCGUUCCUAUAUAUUCAAGAGAAAAGAAAAGCCUAAGUGUUUCUUGUCAGGAAAAGGCUUUCUUAUCUAUUAGAAAAACACAUGGUAAGAUAUUAUAAAAAUACAUAGUCAGAGUAAAAGGAAAUAGUAUUGGAAAAGAGCAUAAUUGUUUAAAAUCCAUAUGUGGAUAUAAAAAGAGUCAUUGCCUAUAUAAGCAAUGAUGUACAUAUAUAUGUACAUUAUAUACAUAUGCACUUAUACAGUGAUGUGUUGCUUAAUAUGAGGAUAUGUUCUAGAACCUUAACUAUUAGGUAAUUUUGUCUUUAUGCAAACAUUACUGAGUUAAAACCACUUGUAGAGUGAAACCUCUUACAUACUUAGGUGAUGGUAUAUGUAUAUGUUAUAGCCUAUUGCUCCUUGUACCAUAUGAAAAAUGUUAACAGGAUAUCAGAUGAAGUACCAAAAAUAUAAUCAAGAUACAGUAAACACAAGAUAUGAGAGAUGGUAUGGACAUAACAUGGCAUACUGCUUUACAGCAUUUGUUUUUCAAUAAGCAGAAAACCACAAUCUAAAAUAAUGACUAAAAUAUAGAUGAUAAAUAUAUCAGCCAAUGACACAGUCCUUUAUUAUCAUUAUCAGGAAUUUUUGCUGUACAUAAUUGCAUGAGCUGUGGUUAUAUAUGAAUGGCACCCAAUAGGUCUACAAACUCAUGAGUGAUACUUGGUGCCAUGAUGUUAUGGGGCUGUGAUGUCACUAGGUGGUAGGAAUGUUUCAGCUCUGUUAUAAUCUUAAGUAGACAGCAUAAUGUAAUAUAUAUUAUCUGUCAUGAAAGCAUCAUUUCAUGUUACAUGACCUCACACAUACAAAUGACUGUUUUCAAGUUGACUGGCUAAAGGCCGCAGAACACAAGAGCUCAGCACAGCAGGUUUAAGCAGCAAUGCUACAGCAGGACCACAUGCUGGCAUUCUGCUCAUCUUCCUUCCAGACCAAAUGUAGCAGAACGGACAGUGACAGUAGGCGCCACUUUGCUGCGCUCUAGAAAUAGUACUGCACUGAAGUCAAGACACCACCUAAGAAGACGACUAUCGCUCAGCCUAAUGGGAGAGGCAAGAGCUUGGGGAUGACCUUGGAGUGGGUCAUCUCUGCCAGCUCUCUGGGCAAACUUCUCCGCACCUUGGCCCAGAUAAUUCAGAGCUGGCUGGCCGAUUUUGUCGGAUGCCGGAUUUCUAAAGUGAUGGCCCACAGGCCAGACCUGGUCCUCGGAUGUGGCUUGUUUGCUCGGCCUGUUCUCUUGCUUGUUGACCUGCUUUUCAGAGCUGAACUUGAAAGAUGGAAAUGGAGACCUUGGUCUCCUUCUGCGUGCGACCUUCACUGCCUCUCUCCAGUAUUUUUUUCCUGGCUUUUAUGACAACCUAAAAUCACCAGCCAAUUCCUUAGAAAGAGUUGGCGUUCUGACUCCUACCACAUCGUUUACAAAUUCUCUUUCAUUUCCAGUAUUUCUUUUCUACUCAUUCUGUUUUCUUUGUUUUUCCUCAUCUCACUAAUGAAAAACCAGGUUUUUCCAUAAAGAUUUUAAUUGUUCCUGCUUGAGUGAUAAAAUCCUGCAUGUGAUUUAGGAAGUAGACGUCUCCAUGAACGUGAAGGAUUACUGUUCUGUGUUCUUCACAGCGUGGUCCCUAUAGCUGGCUGGUCAGGGGCAGGCUUGAAGACAUUUGGACUGAAUAAAUGACACUCGUCCAAAUUGGGCCAUGUCUUGAUUUUAGUAAUACAGGCAUAUCAUCAGCAGACUGGAAUUAGCUCAGAGAAUAUAUUAAAUUUUAGGAGGUAUGGAGGGGCUUUUGUAAAAAAAUAUUAUGACUGCUAAGAGAAUGUGAAAUGCCCCGAGGCGUGUUCAUUUUUAUUCUAUAAUGAACAGGAAAUCUUCUGGAGCAAAAGCAAAAUUAAUGAUGGAAAAACAGCUGGAGAUACUGAAACAGAAAUUAAUUCUACUUACCUGACUCUUAAAAACUGAUGGAAGGAGAAGGCAGAAGGAAAGAUGACACCAGGAAGAAAAUAGAAUCUUGACACUAAGAAUCUGGGACCAGGCAUUUGCGAUCCAUUCUCGUUCAGUGGUCUCAGAGCUCAAGAGGGGCACUCUUCACCAAUUAUGAAUAACUGCGGUGAUGGCUACCAGGAACCUGUGUAACCUGAAGUGUGGACACUUUCUAAGGAGAUGUGACACUGUUGCUUUCAAUGGCAGAUGACAGCAAGGUUGCCUUGCAGUUGCUAUGAGAAAAACUAUGAUUUGGAGAGGGCACGUUUAUCACAAGCCAGGACUGGGUGCCCAGGUUGGAUCACUCACUUUAAUGCAGUUUAUUUUAAAAAGCUAUACAUAUCGCCUGUGAUUUUUUUUUUACCAUUUUCUUCAAACAUGCUAGAAAAUUUUUGCCUAAAUACAUUGCUUUGGGACAAACUUCAUCAGUUCUCCACAGGACGAAGUUGUUCUACUGUUCUUAGAAAUUCUUACAACUAUGUGGGGGGGAUGAAAAUGUGUGUGUGUGUGUGUGUGUGUGUGUGUGUGUGUGUGUGUGUGUGUGUGUGUGUGUAAAACUAUUCUCACCUCCCUCCAUGAUGCUUUAAGCUUUUUGACUAAUUCCCAACCCACAGAUGUUUUAUUUUGUGAGCUUUAUUUAUAUGCCUGGGUAACUGUGUGAAUCAGGGGCACUGAAAGGACCAGCAGACGCCAUAACAGGCUGCUCUGUCUUCUCUCAGAGAUCAGGACUCAAUUUCAGUUCUCUGAGAGUGAGCAAACAGUUUCUGGGAGGGUCAUGAACAAAAGACAAUGAAUCACUGAUGCCCCUGCCAGCAGAGACAGGGAGAUAGGAUGCACCAAGCCUGGGCCACUGAGCCAGCCCCCACAGUCAGUACGUGCUAGGCCAGCCAGCAUCCACAGCAGCUCAAAGACAAGCCUGGGACUUGUCCAGGUCUGCCCCAAAAUGAAUAACUGUAACCCCCUACUAACACUAGUUAAUCAAAAGUUACUAACAUGAUCGCCACUCACAUAAACCAAUCCUGAGUCUGUUUCUAAGUAGUCUGAAGACCCCAAGGACCACCCCCACAUCCCCACCCCCACCCCUGCCACCUUGCUUUACCCCCUGUAAAAACCUGGCCCCACUGCUACUCAGGGUCUCUCCUGCUCUACUGCUAUGUCAGACAGACGGAGAGGCCCGAGUUAACUAGCAACAAUAAAAAGACUCUUCACUUUUGCAUUGGAUUUGGUUUCUUGAUGGUCUUUGGGGGACUCUGGGUACAACAGGCACUGCUUUUCUUUCACAAGUGAAUUUUCUGGGGUCAUUUAUACUAACAGAAAAUUCAUUUGACAAACCAAUUUUGGAUGGACAAACAGUAUUUGUGUCCAGAAUCAGCUCUUAACCAUGACACUUACAAUUUCUAAGUCCAUGGUGUUUCUUUGUUUCAAGCCUGAUGUACUGUUUCCUCUGAGAUUGAAGCAUUCAAUCCUCCAGGAGAGAUCCUUAAACAGGAAGGUAAACAAACUCAAAGUCAUUUCAGGAAGUCCCUGAAACUGACCGGAUUCACUAGGUCCCUUCCUGCCUGAGUUAAAUAAUAAAAGCUAAGAGUCCUUCUAAGAGGGAGUGAAGCCCAGCUGCAAAGACUACUCUGAGACCAGACCAGCUGCCUGGAAGAAGCAGAAACCAGCUGAGCUGCCUGGAAGAGGUUUAGACCAACUGAGGCACCUGGAAAGGACACUCUCCAACCUGUUGCACUGCCUCUAGGCUGUGUAGUGUUCUCCAGAUUCCCAACUCUAUGAACUGUCACACAUGCUGGGGUUGGCCUUGGUGAUGCUGCUGUCUUUGAAUCAUAAAAGUGAUCAUAACCUCUCACCCCUAUUCCUGUAAGCAACCCCAAUAAAACUCAUGGUUCAAAGUUGGAUUUUGGUGAUAUCUAUACUUUGGUCUGGGGUGAGUAAACAUGUGUGCUGUGUCUCCCCAGGAAUAGUUCUGUCAUACAACAGGUAUCUAAGAAAGAAUGUAUGGAUUCCAGGAUAUUGGAAGGUGUUCUUCUGGAUUUGAGGGUUCAUGUACAAAUGGUUUCUUCAAAGACCCUGGGAAAGACACCUGCUGGGGAUUCUCUAAAGAGGAAAGAAAAGCAAUUGUAUCCACUACAUCCUCAGUACACCUCCCUUGAAGACCAUCACUGUGUUUGAAAUAUGUGAACUGGUACCUUCCCAAGGAGCCUUUGCUAAUAUCCUCAUGAAAAGAAGCCCCACUCCCCUUAACUUCUCCCCCUUAGCACCUACCACUUUCCACUGCAAUUGUCUGACCUCUGUCUACUUUCUGCUCACCACCAAACACAAGCUUCAAGAGAAUAGGGACUGUGCCCAUGUCUCACUGCUGAAUCUUCAGGACCAACAACCCCUGGCAGUGAUAGCCUUUGGACCCGACAGGUCCCCAACAGGCUCAGAUUUAAAUGCUCUGUCCCCAACCUUGGGCACUACUUUGAAGAUGAUUAGAGCCUUUACGAAGUGAGUCAAUAGUGGGCCUUUGACAGGUGCAGUGACUUCUGGUCCUGGCCUACAUCCUGCCUACCAUCAUGUGAACAGCUAUGGCACAAGCUUCCCCAGAUGGAGCCACUCCAGCUAACACACCUGCUCCAUGGGGCUGAACUGAAAGCAUUCUAAAACUGUGAGCCAACGGUAACCUGGGUUUCCUCCGUUCACGUGUGGGGAUCUGGACCACAGUAACCAAGCUGGACCUGACACUGGCAGGCGUGAGAUGCUCGGUAAGUCAUUUUUGGAUGAUUGACUGUAACACCUCAGUGGGACAGCUCCUUUCCCAGCAGAUCCUGACUCAGGAAUCCAGGCUGGAACCUUAGCUCUGCCACUCAAAGCUGAUGGCCUUGGGCUAUUGUCUUACUUAAGGGUUCUACUGCUGUGAUAAAACACCAUGACCCAAAGCAACUUGGGGAGGAAAGGGUUUAUUUUCCGAUGCUUCUACAACACAGUCCAUCACUGAGGGAAGCCAGAGCAGGAACUCAAACAGCACAGGGACCUGGAGGCAAGAGCUGAUGCAGAAACCAUGGAGGGAUGCUGCUUACUGGCUUGCUCCUCCUGGUUUGCUCUGCCUGCUUUCUCAUAGAACUGAGGACCAUCAGCUCAGGGGUGGCACCACCCACAAUGAGCUGAGCCCUCCCACAUCAAUCCCUAAUUAAGAAAAUGUCCUACAGGCUUGCCUACAGGCUUGCCUAUCUUCUGGAGGUAAUUCUAAAUUGAGAGCCCUUCUUCCCAAAUAACUAGCUUGUGUUGGCUUAAAAUUAGCCGGGGCUGCAAGAGAAUACCUUUGAGAACCUCGGAUUCCUCAGUCUUGAAAGGCAAGCAGUAACAGUUCCUGCCACAGAAAGGUGUUGCCAUGAUAGCAAAAGGUACUAAAAAGGAUGUGCUCAGGCACCUAUUGCAUGGUUUCCAGGACAUUGUAGGCAUGCAAAAACUGUUGGCGGCUAUUCCUGCUGUUGUCUUUAUUCCAGAAAGACAAACCAACACAGAGUAUACUUCCAGAGCUACAGCAGAAUUCUGCACUUACAUACUUCAUCUCCCGUCUGUUCCAAGCUCUCUGACACAGGCCCGGGGAGAAAGUGAUGAGUGAGGUCACCACCUACCUUCUGCUUCUGUUUUGUGGAACCCUUACUUUGGGUUCAGAAAGGAGGAGACCCUAUUAGAUGUGAAUCCAAGGAGUUCAUGCACAGUGGCUGACUGGGCAAUCAUUAGGUUUUCUGUAUCACGGUAUAUGCAGUAGAGAACACCAACCUAAUUUAAAAGGGAGGCUCAAAAAUUCUUGUCAGAUGUGUCAAUAAAGGCAGAGUGUAUAAAAAUGAGCUUUCAGAAUAAGAUCGAAAUUGACUUAGUUUUUAAAAAUAAAUAAGACACCUAACACCUUUUUGUGUGUUAAUUAUUAUCCCAUAAGGAUAUUAACAACGUGUGGAACUUUCUAAGAAUCAGGUGUAGUUGCUCUACAGUAACAUGAAGAAACCCAUGCUUUGCUCUUCCUCCUUCUAAGGGUAUUUUGUUUGUUUGUGUUUUAUUUUGUUUAUGCUUGGGCUGUGGUUUUGGUUGGUUGGUUGGUUUUGAUCGUGCUUUUUGAUUGCUUGUUUGAUUUGGUUUGGUUGUUGUUGUUUUGAGAUAGUGUCUCAUUAUGUAGCCCUAGCUGUCCUGGAACUUGUUAUGUAGACCAGGCUGGCCUCGAACUCACAGAGAUCCUCCUUCCUCUGCCUCCUGAGUGCUGGGAUUAAAGGCACUGGCCCUACACUGGUCUCCUCUCUUUCUUUCUUCUAGUUUCUAGUGCUAAGAACUCUAAAUAAAACACACUGGAAGCUCCAAUGGAGCUCAGGGGUAAAGAUCUUCCCUAGCCUGUGCAAGGCCCUAGACUUGAGCCGGGCUGCCGCAAACAGACAGAAAAUGAAAGACAAACACUGACGUAGUUUGCUGGUCUUAGUGAAAAUGCAGGUGCUGGUACUGUACUUUCCCAUGGAUGUGAAUUUAGAGAUUUUCAGACUAAAUUACUUUGGGACACAGCCUCUAAUUCAAAGAAGAAACUCUGACUGUGCAUUCAUGCUCCAGGGAAAGGAACCCUGGGGUUUCAGCUUUGUUUUCCUAAACAAAGUCGGGAGGCAAACCACAGCUACUGACCACAGACCUAAACAUUCAGGACGCUAACUGAACCAAGCUCACAUGUAAACAGCAAGAGAUUAAUACCGCGCUUUUGAAACGGACUUGAAUGGGUUCUGUGAGAUUUCAUCACACAAAAUGCAGCAAUGAUGGUUCCCAGAAACAAGUAAAAGAAAGUUAAUGAGAAAUUAUCCUGCUUCUACUUUCCAUUCUCUUAGUCCAAACCUAAGUGGACAUCACAAACACGUGCCAAGGAAGAAAGAGUCCUAAAGGAUGGGGGUGACUCAGGAUAGACAGACAUGACCUGGAGCAGAAAGGGAUUAUAUCCACAAAAUGGAGGUGAGUGCUGAAUGAAUACAGGAAUACAGGGGAUGCAGGAAGAAGCAGCAGUGAAACCCAGGCAGGAAGGGAACACAGCCAGAAGCUGUGAAACACAGGGAAGGAGGUGGGAUGUGAACAUGGUCCAAUGAAUUUGCAAGCACAGGGGCAGCCGUCAAAGGCCACGGUAACCCACUCAAAUUAAAACAAGUGCCCUCACUACCAUUCACUUAAUUGUAUGUUCCUCUGCAAAUAUAGAAACAGCUGUUUCCUUCGGAUGCAAUUAUCUUUGUCCAAAAGCUUUCGAAAUGGCCCUUUGUGGACCUCGCAAGACACCCAAAUGUAUUACACAAUAGAGCUUUCAGAUCGUAGGCAGAGGAGCGCAGUUUAUCUAAGACUUUGAUUCUCCUGCCAGAGUUUGGGCUGAUGGAAGAAGGCACUGGUUCUCAAAAUGAACACCAGUACUGGCUUGACCCUGGAAACUAACAGCUUGGCUGUGGCUUGUUAGCUGAUGCUGAGUGUGAGCUCACUGGCUGGACAGCAACCAAUCAGGCUGUCUUUAAAACACUUAAUUUGAAGGUAGGGUUUUCAAUUUUUCAAAGGAUCGGCACAGAGCCAGUAGACUUAAAGAAUAGUUAUCAAUCAAUUGUCAUUUCAACCAAGAGACAGGAUGAGGAAACUUAGGGAGUCCAGUUGAGCGAAAAUACUAAAAGAAAAAAAGACCAUGAAGAAAAUAAAUAAAAUAUAAAUAAAUGUAGACAGACAGACUUAAUAUGUGCCACAGAGAGAGAACAGUAUUUUCCAUGCCUAUCAACUCUCCAUCUUCGUCUCUAUGGAGACUCAAUAUCCUUUACGCAAAUAGUGGCUGAUGUUAGUGAACACACGCCCAAGGCACUAUGCAUGUGCUGUUUUAUUUCAUUUUCAAACAAUGCCACAAAGUGGCAUUAUUUAUUAUCAUUCCUGUUUUACAGAUGGCGAAGUCAAGGUUGGAAAGCUCAUAGCAAAAGCUGGGGAAGUGAUAGGAUUCCAAUUCAGUUCUGUUUUAAUCUGAAGUUUAUAUUCUAAAAUGUAACUCUAUACUGCCUGGGUUAUUUCUAAAUAAACUUCCUCUUUAGCUGAGCAAUCUUGAGAGUAUCUU